GUGUGAAUGUGUGUGUGUAUGCAUAUAUGUGUAUGUGUGUGUGUGUGUGUAAUUUAAACCUUAGACAUUCGUUUCCUGCUCGCACUGUUCCUGAGUAACUUUCUCCCCCGCCCCUCCC